AGCUUCUUGCUCCCUGGAUACUAGACAAAGCCCUCAGUGAGCCCCCGUGAAACAAGGGGCGUCCGGCAGUCCCUUUCCACCUGUCUCCACCCAGAGGAAAACGCAGGGACUGAGACACCCUCAUCCCCUCCCUUCCUGCCCCGCCGCUGGAGCUUUGUAAGCUGGAGCCAGGAAGCCGGAGUGUGGGGAACUUGAAAGGUCUGUAGCCCCUGCUGUGACACCGCUGAGCAGGAAACCGCGUGCGUCCACAAGCAGCCCCAAGGCCUUGUUGUAGGACAGUGGACAGUUUGCUCUCCCGGCUGAGGCUGCCCACCCCAGGGUUCCUGCAGUGCCUCACCUGCCCCCGGAGACGCCGGCCCCUGUCCCUGCCAAGCUUUCCAGGGUCCCCCCAUGCUGGGGUGACAGAGGCAGUCCCCCAAGAAUGAGGUACCCCAGCUGUCCCGUCCUCCUAUAGGCAUAAAACAACCCCCACCCCCGCCACACACACACACACAAGCUGUUUCUGCUUUUGGCCCAGUCAAGCCAAAAACUCCCCUGCUCUGGGUGGGGAUUGUUGACUGACUGUAAGUGCCACGUUUGUGGAGCAUAAUCUCUAAUUCUUGAAACAACUCAGCCUGGAGCGUUUUAUUAUUAUUAUUCCCAUUUUAUCUUUUUUUUUCCAUUUCUCCUAGCCUUGUAAUUAUUACUCCCAUUUUAUAGUUGAGGAAACUGAGGCUUCACAAUGUUGCGUGGCUCCUGGAGAGCUCAUAAAGCCAAUGAGCUAGGGCUGCAAGUGUGGGCUGGGCAAUGACUCCCAGGACGCAAAAAGCCAGGCACAGUGGAAUAGGUUGCCACGGAAUACACUCGUGAACAGAAAACAUUCCAAACCCAAACCAGAGAGAGUGCGUGUGCAUGUGUGUGUACUUUACACACCCAAGAAAGCCCAGCCCUGAUUGCCUGCCUUAGGAGGUAGGAGGAUGCGAGAGACUGAGUGUCCAUGUCCCCCUAGACGCAUAUGUUGAAACCUUCAUCCCAGCGUUAUGGUAUUAGGAGGUGGGGCCUUUGGGAGGUAAAUAGGUUGUGCCGGGGGAGCCCUCAUGAUGGAAUCAGUGCCCUUACCAGAGGCCAGAGGGCUGGUGCCUCCCUGCUGUCACGUGAGGACAUGAUGAGAAGGCAGCCAUCUGCAAGCCGGAAGACGUCCCCUGCCUGAAUCCGAACAUGCUGGCUCCUGAUCCUGGAUUUCCAGCCUCCGGAACUGUGAGAAAUCAAUGUCAGUUGUUGAGAAGCACCCAGUUUAUGGUGUUUUGAGACAGCUGACUGGACUAAGGCAGAACGAAAGAGGGGAAGACUCACUUGUUUCUUCACAGGAUUAAACAGGGGCAGGCAGCUGGGACAAAGCAGCACUGGACCCGAGCUGGAGGGAUGGAUCCCGGGCCCUCCACUCACUGGCCGACAAUGACGGGCAAGUGGCUUCACCUCUCGUCCCUCAGUGACUUCAUCUAUAAAUGGGGCUGAAAUCAGGGAAUCAAAAGGCAUGAAGAGCUAGCCCCUAGCAUGACACUUGGCCUACUUUUGGUAUUUAAUAAACGUCUUCUGACCUGGUC